rnacentral:misc_RNA from 1 species
GAUGAAGAACGCAGCGAAAUGCGAUAAGUAAUGUGAAUUGCAGAAUUCAGUGAAUCAUCGAAUCUUUGAACGCACAUUGCGCCCCCUGGUAUUCCGGGGGGCAUGCCUGUCCGAGCGUCAUUGCUGCCCUCAAGCACGGCUUGUGUGUUGGGCCUCCGUCCUCCUCCCGGGGGACGGGCCCGAAAGGCAGCGGCGGCACCGCGUCCGGUCCUCGAGCGUAUGGGGCUUCGUCACCCGCUCUUGUAGGCCCGGCCGGCGCUUGCCGACACAUCAAUCUUUUUUCCAGGUUGACCUCGGAUCAGGUAGGGAUACCCGCUGAACUUAAGCAUAUCAAUAAGCGGAGA